rnacentral:rRNA from 1 species
UACGGAGGGUGCAAGCGUUAUCCGGAUUCACUGGGUUUAAAGGGUGCGUAGGUGGGUUGGUAAGUCAGUGGUGAAAUCUCCAGGCUUAACUUGGAAACUGCCAUUGAUACUAUCAAUCUUGAAUACCGUGGAGGUCAGCGGAAUAUGUCAUGUAGCGGUGAAAUGCUUAGACAUGACAUAGAACACCAAUUGCGAAGGCAGCUGGCUACACGAAUAUUGACACUGAUGCACGAAAGCGUGGGGAUCAAACAGG